CCUACGGGAGGCAGCAGUGGGGAAUAUUGGUCAAUGGGCGCAAGCCUGACCCAGCGACGCCGCGUGCCGGAAGGAGACUUUCGGGUUUUUAACUUCCUUUGAUAGGGAAGAGUAGAAGACGGUACCUGUCGAAUAAGCCACGGCUACCUACGUGUCAGCAGCCGCGGUCAUACGUAGGUGGCACGCGUUGUCCGGAAUUACUGGGUGUAAAGGGCGUGUAGCCGGGUUGACAAGUCAGUUGUGAAAUCCUGGGGCUUAACCGCAGAACUGCAUAUGAAACUGUGGAACUUGAGUACUGGAGAGGGAGACGGAAUUCCUGGUGUAGCAGUGAAAUGCGUAGAUA
rnacentral:rRNA from 1 species